UAGAUUGAAGCCAGUUGAUUAGAGGGUUUAGCUGUUAACUAAAUUUUCGUGGUUUUGAAUUCCACCAGUCUAG
rfam:Pan troglodytes isolate Yerkes chimp pedigree #C0471 (Clint) chromosome 2B, whole genome shotgun sequence.